UACAGCCAUAUUACAUUGAAACACUGGUUUUCUUAUGAUCAUCAAAGUUAAGCAAUGCUGAGCCUGGUCAGUACCUAGGUGCGUGACUGCCCAGGAAUACCAGGUGCUGUAAG